rnacentral:rRNA from 2 species
CUCUUAUGGAUGGACCCGCGUCGCAUUAGCUAGUUGGUGAGGUAACGGCUCACCAAGGCAACGAUGCGUAGCCGACCUGAGAGGGUGAUCGGCCACACUGGGACUGAGACACGGCCCAGACUCCUACGGGAGGCAGCAGUAGGGAAUCUUCCGCAAUGGACGAAAGUCUGACGGAGCAACGCCGCGUGAGUGAUGAAGGCUUUCGGGUCGUAAAACUCUGUUGUUAGGGAAGAACAAGUGCUAGUUGAAUAAUCUGGCACCUUGACGGUACCUAACCAGAAAGCCACGGCUAACUACGUGCCAGCAGCCGCGGUAAUACGUAGGUGGCAAGCGUUAUCCGGAAUUAUUGGGCGUAAAGCGCGCGCAGGUGGUUUCUUAAGUCUGAUGUGAAAGCCCACGGCUCAACCGUGGAGGGUCAUUGGAAACUGGG